ACUCCUACGGGAGGCAGCAGUGGGGAAUAUUGCACAAUGGGGGAAACCCUGAUGCAGCCAUGCCGCGUGUGUGAAGAAGGCCUUCGGGUUGUAAAGCACUUUCAGUAGGGAGGAAGGUAGUGUAGUUAACACCUGCAUUAUUUGUACGUUACCUACAGAAGAAGCACCGGCUAACUCCGUGCCAGCAGCCGCGGUAAUACGGAGGGUGCGAGCGUUAAUCGGAAUUACUGGGCGUAAAGCGCAUGCAGGCGGCCUGUUAAGUCAGAUGUGAAAGCCCGGGGCUUAACCUCGGAAUUGCAUUUGAAACUGGCAGGCUAGAGUCUUGUAGAGGGGUUAGAAUUUCAGGUGUAG
rnacentral:rRNA from 1 species